UUUGUUUUUUAAUUAAAAACUAGAAUGAAAGGUUAUACAUUCAAAUUUCUUUAUUAAUUUUUUAUAAAUAAUUUAUAUUAAAUAUAAAAAUAUAUUUUUAAAUAAAAAAGACGACAAGACCCUAUUAAAUUUAACUUAUAGUUUAGCUGGGGAAGCUUUUUAAAUAAAAUUUUUAUAUAAUUUUUAAAAAUAUAUUUAAUAAAAUUAAAAAUAAAACAAAUUACUAUAGGGAUAACAGCGUUAUAUUUUUUAAAAGUUCUUAUUUAAAAAAAUGAUUGCGACCUCGAUGUUGAAUUAUAUUUUCUAUAUUAAUGCAAUAAUUAUAAAAGUAGAUCUGUUCGAUCUUUAAAAUAUUACAUGAUUUGAGUUCAAACCGGUGUAAACCAGGUUGGUUUCUAUCUUUUUAUAUAUAUAUAUUUUUUUAAGUACGAAAGGAAAAAAAAAAAUUUAUUUUAAUUAUUUAGCAAAUUAAUAUGCAUUAGAUUUAGAAUCUAAAUAAAAUAUUAUUUUUUAAUUAAUUCUUUUAUAUCUAUUAUUAUACUUUUAAUUUCAGUUGCAUUUUAUACAAUUUUAGAACGAAAAAUUUUAAGAUACAUUCAAAUUCGAAAAGGUCCAAAUAAAGUAGGUUUUAUAGGAAUUUUACAACCAUUUAGUGAUGCUAUUAAAUUAUUUAAUAAAAAUUUAAUUUCACUUGAAAGAAUAAAUUUUAUAUUAUCAUAUUCAACUCCAGCAUUAUCUUUAAUUUUAAUAAUAAUAAUUACUUCUAUAUUACCUAUAUAUAUUUAUUCUACAUUUGAUAAUAAAAAUAAUAUUUUAAUAUUUUUUGUAAUUUCAAGAUUAGCAGUUUAUUCCAUUUU
rnacentral:rRNA from 1 species